UUGGAUACCUCUCGAGGAAACUCGGACUUUGAGGAUUGCUGUGCGCAAGCCGGCUUUCCUUUGCAUUUCCGGUAUAUGUUUUUAUAUACACACCAAGUAUGUUACAGAAUGUCUAUUAAACAGGGCUUAAUUGCCUUUAAACUUGUAUACAACUUUCAACAACGGAUUCUCUUGGCUCUCGCAUUCGAUGAAGAACGCAGCGAAAUGCGAUAAUGUAAUGUGAAUWGCAGAAUUCAGUGAAUCAUCGAAUCWUUGAACGCACCUUGCGCUCCUUGGUAUUCCGAGGAGCAUGCCUGUUUGAGUGUCAUGAAAUYCUCAACCUCUUKCAACUUUUUUCUACAAGUUGGAUAAGGCUUGGAUAAUGGGAGUGUCUGCGGGCUUGCUCAGAAGUCUGCUCUCCUUAAAUGUAUUAGCAGGAUCCUUGUAUUGCUUUUGGUGCUGAUAUAUGUAUCUACGCCAUAACAUAUACAUGGUGGAUAUACUGCUUCUAUACCGUCUCGAUCAUGCACGCACAGACUUUGAC
rnacentral:sRNA from 1 species